rnacentral:lncRNA from 1 species
GAAAAAUAGUUGGAAAAGAAAAGGAGAAUGAAUCCGUAGUUGAUUUAAUGGGGGAGAAGGAGAAGAGACUGGAUUCUCUUCAGCCAGGAUUCCUCAGAGAGACAACACUCAGUAAGGAGGAUUAGGGAUGGAUUUCUUCAUGGCAGAGAAGUUUGGAUUCUAUAGCGUGAAUACUGAAAGGCCAUCUUGCCUCUGAUCAGCAGAUGCAUGAAGUGUAGGCAUGAAGCGUAUAUUGUCAAUAAUCAUCUGAAGACGUCAUGAAGUUAGGAGAUUUCAACGCUUCCCUCCACCCUUUCUCUUUUUAAAACGCAGCUGUGAUUCGGGGGCUAGCUUCCUCAGAAUCUCCAUUUGAAAUUGGCAGAAACGGUGUCGCUGAGGACUCCUCUCAUGUCCUGUCACAUUUCCAUGCGAACAAAUCUCAUCUCACUGACGACGCCUGUCAAGUUUCACUUCGUUGCAGAGAUUUUUCAGAAGUACCAUGUGAUCAGGAGAACAAGAUGCAUGGAGGAAGUAACGCAUAAUGCUUGUGAGAGGUGGAAAGGACCUUAAAGAUCAUGUGGCUCAAUUCUCAUUUGCAGAUGAGGAAAGUGAGACCCAAGGAAGGAAAGUGACCUGGUAUAUGGCAAAGACAAAAUUUUAACCCAGGUUUCUUACCUUUGAAUCCAUUGCUCUGUUAACCACCGCAGGAAGAGUAAAAAGAAGGGAGAAGAGUUGCAGGAAGAAGUUUUGCUCAUUUCAGCGUUGGUCAUCCUAUUCCAUACAUAUCAUUCUCAGUUAAGCAUAUAUAACUUCCA